rnacentral:piRNA from 1 species
UUCAAUUCUUACUACAUUACU